rnacentral:tRNA from 1 species
AAAAAAAUAAGCUAAAGAAGCUAUUAGGUUCAUACCCUAAAUAUAUGAGCUUCAAUCUCAUUUUUUUUA